rnacentral:lncRNA from 1 species
GGGGCGUCCUUCCAAGAAUUAGGGCCACUGUUGUUGAUUGUGCCCAAGAUAAGACUAAACAGAGCCUCCAGGGAAAUGCUUAUUCACUCGCCUAUUCUCCACAGCUGAGUAAACUACUCCUGGCCAGGACUUUGGGGAAAUAGUUUAACUCUUCCAGGCAACACAGUGGAAUUUUCUUCAGUUUUUCCAAGAACUGAAGAUUCUAUCUGCUAGGGUACUUCAAAAGCUGAAGACGCCUUUCAACCCUUUUGGUGUGUGACGUUGCUACGUGCGCAGCCAGCCCGGCCCGGCUUCGUGGGAGUCAAGACCAUGUCCGCCAAGGUGGCCACUUCCCAUGGCUGCAUCAUGGACCUCCCAGAAGAAGCAGGAGCAGAGGAGAACUCCGCUUCAAGGUGUUGAGGGAAGGCCUCUUACCCAACUCUGUUUGUUUUGGAGGAGCUUCGAAACAAGACGUUUGCAUUUGCGCGCCAGCCCUAAUUAAUUCCUGCUGUCAAGCCCAAACCACAUGUUAGGUGCUUCAUUCCUGUCUUCGUUCCUGUCACUGGAGAGAUGGAGCCCGGGCUUGUCUCUCUGCGGAAUGCCGCAGACAGACCUGCACCUGCCGCUGAGCCCCGAGGCCCUGGCUGGCUGGGUCAGCUCUCCAGCAACUCCCCAACAGGGAGAGUAACCACAGCAAAGCCUCUGGCGGCACGUUAACCCUUUCGAUGCUGAGCCCACACACAGCAGCAGAACGGUGCUACCACGGAAACAGACUUUGCUGGGGACGGGAGGGGGAAGUUCCUGUAAGAUGCCCUCUUGGCUCGAGGCCAGCCACGCAAGAUGCCGGCCAGCUGUGUGAAUGCUGGGGUUCCUGUGCCUCAGGAGAAGGCGUGCAGGUGCACCAGGCCCCCGGCCCUGGCUGCAGAGUGGACUUGGGCUCAUGGCAUCCCCUUGGGGCAGAAACGUUCCUUCCUGGAGGAUCCAGCUCUUCACACUGCCCUGGGAGACCAGUGUGUGUCCUGUCUGAGCUUGUGAGUGUGACCAAGGCCACUGCCAGCUGCUCUCCCUGCUGUGUCAGUCACGAAACAUUGGCCAUCUGCCUGCUGCUCACCCCAGCAUCUCCCAAGUGGUGCCCAGGCACGAGUUCUUACACUUGGCCUUGUGAGCACAUUCCCCGAGGGUUGUGAAAGGGGCAGUGGUGUCCUGGUUUUGGCUGGGCACUGCCUGAUGUCAAGUUGCAUCCCAGUAGGGAGGUAGCAAAGACCGACUGGGACUGAGAACCAUCUAGGUUCUCUAGGUAGAGCACAAACAGAACCAGGUGAACACUAAGCUCCAUGGAAGAAGCUCUCGCAUGCCCCCUCCAGUUAACUAUCAUUUUCUAUGUAGCCU